rnacentral:rRNA from 1 species
AUUCCAGCUCCAAUAGCGUAUAUUAAAGUUGUUGCGGUUAAAAAGUUCGUAGUUGGAUUUCUGUGAAGGAUAACCGGUCCGCACUAUGUGCGUGUAUCUGUUUGUCCUUUGCAUCCUCGCGGAAUACGUCACUGUGCUUCACUGCAUGGGGCGGGCUUCGCGACUUUUACUUUGAGGAAAUUAGAGUGUUCACGGCAGGCUCACGCCAUGAAUAUAUUAGCAUGGAAUAAUAAUAUAGGACCUUGGCUCUAUUUUGUUGGUUUCUAGGGCUAAGGUAAUGACUAAUAGGGACAAUUGGGGGCAUUCGUAUUAACGCGUCAGAGGUGGAAUUCUUGGAUUGCGUUACGACGAACUACUGCGAAAGCAUUUGCCAAGGAUGUUUUCAUUG